rnacentral:rRNA from 1 species
UACGUAGGGUGCGAGCGUUGUCCGGAAUUAUUGGGCGUAAAGAGCUCGUAGGCGGUUUGUCGAGUCUGAUGUGAAAACCCGAGGCUCAACCUCGGGCCUGCAGUGGAUACGGGCAGACUAGAGUGCGGUAGGGGAGAUUGGAAUUCCUGGUGUAGCGGCGGAAUGCGCAGAUAUCAGGAGGAACACCGAUGGCGAAGGCAGAUCUCUGGGCCGUAACUGACGCUGAGGAGCGAAAGCAUGGGGAGCGAACAGG